AGAGAGCACAAAUGUUAUUUAGUGUUCUCCACAUUCAUCCUCUCCUCUGUAAGUCAAGCUACAGUACCUGUUAUUGUCCACGUAGCGAAUGAGUAAGGGGUAGAGUGCGUACAGGUCCCGGCACAGCACCGCAAACUCAUCUCUGAUGGUUCCAUUUUCACUGUCCACCUCUGUCUUGCCCUCCAUGCGCAGCUGAUCCUCCUCUGCCACCACCUUCCCAGUGCGCUUCUUCAGCUUUUCCAUGGUGGGGAUGAAGUGGGAUUUCAGCAUCUCUGGUUUAGCCCUGCUGACGAUGGGCUGUGCGAACACUGGACGAGUGGAGAGAGACAGGAACAGUUGUCAGGAAUGGAGGCCUCAUCUAUACCCAGGUUAUUAACCACGAUCUUCAUGAUGCUACCCAGCAGGUGGUUCAGCUGCUCAGAGGUGACCGAGGUGCAGAGCUGGCCUUCCUGCUCAGGGAAAUUCUCCAGGCCCCUCUCCCACCAGCGUGGGAGGUAGUUACACAACAUGGGCAGGGUGAUCUCAAUCACAUGGGGCAUUUCUGUGUAGCGAGCUCCAGACUCAGCCAGGUCAUGGAUCUCCUUCAUCAGGAUCUCCAGCUCUGGGAUAUCAGUGCACAGCUCCUCGACUUGGUUUGGAAGACCCAAAACUAAGAAAGGAGAGAUGAAGUAAAGUCAUGUGUUUGGAAUGCAAAACAAAAUGAAAUGUGAAGAUAAUGUUGAAAAAUAAGAAGUGCAUGGAAACCCACUGGAUCUCUCUCUCUCAGUCUUGGUGGUGUAGACAGAAAACGAGUUGUAUUCAUUUAAUUCUGGCUCAAGGAAGGCCACUGGCAUCGCAGCUGCUAAGUGAGCCAAGCACUCCCCAAGAGCUGGCCGCUGUCUGCACAGGACAAAAAUAACAUCCUCAAAAUUAAAUGUUUUCAUGAUGCAAAGUAAACAAUACAACAACAUUUUCCUUGUGAAGGUCUCCUCUAGAUCUUUUCGAAGUGUCUACGGAUGAAGGGCGUUGAAUGAUGUACAAUCACAAUCCUUUUUGCAUGAAUCUAUUUGACUUGACUUGCAAACUGAACAUGAAUUAAACACAGACUGGUAAAGGA